GCGGGGUCUUCGUCCGUCAGCGGCAGCCCGAAGACGGAGUUGAUGAGAUCGUAGAGGCUGUUGUGCGAGAUCUGCAGGCUGACGUUGGCGCUGUGGAGAGACGAAGCCCCCUCCAUCUGGGCCAUCUCGUGAAAGUGUCGACAGAUCAGCGGGACCACCUGCAGGGGCGAAGGAAGAGAGACGUCACAGCAUGACGGAAUAAAGUGAAGGGAGCUCAACUCAAAAUGAGGCACUUCAUUGGAACAAACCCUGAAAGAGGAGCCAAGGCUGGACGAGGCAGAGUCUCCAACAAGAGUCAAUCCACGUGUCCACUCUGCUGAGGAGACUCAUGGACUUCGACUGGGACUUCGUUUAAGAUGAUCCCUGUCUACAUGAAUUGGAGGUUACUUUAAAAAAGUAAUGAGCCGUGUCAACCCAGAGGAGGAAUCCCCAGCCACUCUCCUUGUGUCAGACAGGUCAGGAGGACAAAGUGCAAAAAGGAGUUGCAGGAGGCCGUUUGAAUCGACCAAUGGGCCUUCAAGUUAGAGACAUUGGAAUGUAAAUGAGCCCAGCGCGUGCUCCCGGCGCAGUGAAAGCUCGGGAUUGUUUAUUGAGCUCCCGGAGCCACGCGCCUGGCCCGGGGGGAGUCGACGUGCAGAAGAAUCACACA